rnacentral:lncRNA from 1 species
GGAAGUGACACAAUGAUUAAUAUUGGUCAUGUUUCAUAGUUGCAGACAUGAGAUGAAAUGAGAUGCUCAUUUAGUUAUUGAAUUUGACACAGCACAAGGUUCUUAGCAGAGAAGACUAUAAAUGGAAAGGUUGUAUAUUGUGAAAAGUUUCACAAGUUUUUACAUACCAUAUUUUCAUAUACUAGCUGCAUGCAAACAUGUCCACUAGAAUUUUGACAUGUACAUUUACCUCUUAUACGAAUCGGAUAUAAAUUUUACGAUAAUUUAAUUGAGAAGCUUAAACACAAUAAAUACUAGCCACAACAUAAAGGUCCAGAAGUUUGUUUUAUCAACCAUAAAAAAAUCCAUAAGUCAGCCAAAUUUAACAACUGAAGAAGUUCUAAAGGACAUUCAAAAUCAUAAAAAAAAUAACAUUUUAAACACAAAAUUUCAUUCUUAAAUGUUUUAUGUAAGGGCUUCAGAAAAAUAAAUAAGCCACUGGGCCUAAUAAGGGCAGCGGGCCCACUCGAAUUGGUCACAUGGCCUUGAGAGGGGUCCCUUUCCCCAAUUUAGAUUUUCAUUUCCUCAUUUCUCUUCUCUCUCUAGAACUCAGAUUUCUUAUUUUCUCUGACUUCUCUCUAACCUUGCUCCACCUUCUCUAACCUUACUCCACCUUCUCUGUACCAAUUUCUCAAAUUUCCACCGUUGUUAUUUCAAAUAGGUGGUCCCCCUACGUUCCCGGAGUUGAGAGCUUCCAAUCCAUCUGAUUAGUUUCGCGUCUCUCCACUGAUAAGGUAAUUUUCCAUUCUGCGCACCCUAGGGUUUUACUCAUGCAAAGGUUCUACCUUUCAAGUAGAGUUAUUUUUAUUUUCCUUUUCCUAUCAAGUUCUAAAGACUAUGCUCUACACCAAUUUGGUGGCUUGUAGGUACUAUCGGAAUUACCGGUGCGGAGGUACUGUUAGGACGCUUUUAGGAACUGUGCUGUGAGAACCAAAAGGUAAGGGGAGCUAGUUAAGAUUUGGAUUGUAUGAGUAUUAUUUUAUAGAGCAUGUUUCCCUCGUUCGCAUAAUGUAUUUAUAUAUAUAUAUAUUGUGUUGGCAUUUGCGUUUGUGGUAAUACUGAUAUGGUUUCUCCGUUCAAAUGGAUUNGUGUUGCUGGGGAGCUUUUCGCUUGAGGGCGUCAUCCUGUAACGUUAUGGGAAUAGAAAGUUUACGGGAAAUACAGUUACUUAGUAAUUCAGAAUGUNAGUGCAUUUUGGUUAUUCCAUUCCUUCCUUGAGUCAAAACAGUGAGGGUUGAUAUAUUUAUAUAUUUUUUUAUUACCUUUGUAUACGUGUUGGAGGGACCGUAGGGAUCAUGAAGUUAAACCUUUUNUUUUUACUGAAUUGUUAAAUCAGGGGAAGGUUUUGGACAUCUAGGGGAGUUUUGGGUUAUUUCAGUAUUUGGUGUGAGUUAGAAGGAGGUAGNGCGUGAGUCUUCUUUAGCCUCUAGAAGGCAUUUGCAGAACUUAAGGUGGGGUGGUCAUGGGUUUAGCUAUCGUCAUUCUUAACAGGAAGAAGAAAGGUGUGAGUGAUGCGUCUUAGUAGGUGGUUGAGUGACGAGGAGGGGAUGAGCUAAUGAGAGUGGGGUUCAAUGUGGGUAUGCAUUUCAGUUUCUAAAGAUAGUGGCUAUGGGGGAGAACCGUGAGCAUGGUUAGGGGUGUUAUCACCUGGCAGAAGGGGUUUAGUGUUAGUAUAGAAAUUAGAAAAGGAUAGAAGGAGAAUGCAUUGAGGAAGGUGACCAUCGUGCGCGUAACAUGCAGGGAGGGGCACGGUCUUAGAAGAAAGAAGAGUAGAAUUUUUGUAGAAAUUGGGUUCUGUAACAGACAAUGAGUUGAAUGCAGAGGAUGGAGAAAACUUUUUGCAUGAAAGUUAGGCAUAGUAACUUAGGUGAGAGAGAAGGAAAGUUAUGAUGGAGAAAGUGAGGAUGUGUAGAGACCCUGUGGGUCCCACGCAAAUUAAAGAGAAAAAAAAUAAAUAUUCAUGAUGCAAUGGUGAUGGGUGUACGUGAGAAAAUUAGUUUGGAGGAAAAAGUGUGAAAGUGAUGACUUAAGUGGGGUCUACCUUAAAAUAUCAAAAAAAAAUAUUUAUAAUAGUUCAACGUGUGCAGGGAAUGAAUUUACCAUUGUAUAAUGGCAAUGGGUGAUAAUAUAUUAUAAUGUAUUUUAUAUAUUAUAUGAUGUAUAAUAUGCUAAAGUCAUUCUUUUAUUUGUCUGGAAUUGUUCAAAAUUUAGAAACGUUAGUUAACUUAGUUUUAUUUAACAUUAUAUUAUAAUAUAUAAAUAUUAGAAUGGUUUUAUUUAAUAAUUAUAUAAUAUAAAUAUAUAUAUAUAUAUAUAUAUAUAUAUAUAUAUAUAUAAAUUAGAAUUAUUAAGUUUAACGUGUGAUUAAACUUUACUGUUAUAAAAUUAAAUUAUAUAAUAACAUAAUAGUUUGUUGUUUUGUUAGUAGAUACGAAUAAGUUAAAAGAUGUCACAGACGAUUUUCAUAAUUUAAUCUGAAGAAUUAUUAUGUAUAUGUUGAUGGUGGUAAAAAGUAUAUGAUUACAAAGUGAUGAAAGUACGAAUCAAGUGGUAAACCAAAUUCCAUCUGUGUAGAAUCUCUUGGUGAGAUUCUUNGUGUUUUAGAAUGAAAGUAGGAGCUCAGUCUUGGGGUCUUCUUGACGCUCCAAUGGUCAAUCAAACUCACUUAGAGAGGUUGAACCAUGUGGUGAGGAGUAGCAGGAGGUCUUAGUCUUGGAGGCCUUCCAUCAUGCUCCAAGGCGCGGAACAAACUAACCUCAUGAGUGGCAGGGCGGGGGAGCCCAGGGUGGGGGAGCCUAAGUAUCACAAGCCACCACGGGUGCAUGACCCGCCAUAGCUCGACUAUCAUUCUAAAGUCCGGACGAGUCAAGUCUAGAAGAUAAUAUGUUAGGAUCUAUGUCAUGUAUUGUCUAGUUUGCAUACUUUUGACUUGAGAUUAAUUUUGAUAUGUAUAUGUGAAUAUAAUUGCAUGUCUUUAUAUAGUUAGCUUACCCUUGCAUUUGGUUGUGUUGUGCUAUGUCUGCGUGUUUUCUCUUGUGAUGAUCAUCCAUUUUGGAUGGGAGCAGAUGGCGAGGAUGUUACUCUGGAGACAGUCUUGGAGGAGAACAGCGAUGCAGCUGCUUAGUUCUGCUAGGAGAUUUCAUGACCCCCUUAUGUUAUCUACAAACAAUUCCUUCUUAUGUUAUUCUGAAAUACUUUAGUGCUUCAAGUUUUAAAUUCCUACUCAAUUUGGAUAACUGUAAUCCCUAUACUCAAGACUCUUAACUGNNNGUCUGCACUCCAACUGCUUUCUUUAUUAUAAUGAAUGACGUCUUAUUAUUAUAUGCAUGACGAAUAUUCUUGGGAUGUCACAUUUUACACUUACAAGUUUUUUAUUUUUCAAAACACAACAACAAAUAUUCUAAUAUCUGCC